UACGGGGGGUGCAAGCGUUACUCGGAAUCACUGGGCGUAAAGAGCAUGUAGGCGGGUAAUUAAGUUAGAAGUGAAAUCCUAUGGCUUAACCAUAGAACUGCUUCUAAAACUGAUAACCUAGAGUAUGGGAGAGGUAGAUGGAAUUUCUGGUGUAGGGGUAAAAUCCGUAGAGAUCAGAAGGAAUACCGAUUGCGAAGGCGAUCUACUGGAACAUAACUGACGCUAAGAUGCGAAAGCGUGGGGAGCAAACAGG
rnacentral:rRNA from 1 species